UACGUAGGGUCCGAGCGUUGUCCGGAUUUAUUGGGCGUAAAGAGCUCGUAGGCGGUUCCGUAAGUCAGAUGUGAAAACUCAGGGCUCAACCCGGAGGCGCCAUCUGAUACUGCGGUGACUGGAGUCUGGUAGGGGAACACGGAAUUCCUGGUGUAGCGGUGAAAUGCGCAGAUAUCAGGAGGAACACCGAUGGCGAAGGCAGUGUUCUGGGCCAGUACUGACGCUGAGGAGCGAAAGCGUGGGGAGCAAACAGG
rnacentral:rRNA from 1 species